CACGAAGUUAGCCGGGGCUUCUUCUCACGCUACCGUCAUCAUCGUCGCGUGCGAAAGAGCUUUACAACCCGAAGGCCUUCAUCACUCACGCGGCAUUGCUGGAUCAGGCUUGCGCCCAUUGUCCAAUAUUCCCCACUGCUGCCUCCCGUAGGAGUCUGGGCCGUGUCUCAGUCCCAGUGUGGCUGAUCACCCUCUCAGACCAGCUAAGGAUCGUUGCCUUGGUAGGCCGUUACCCCACCAACAAGCUAAUCCUACGCGGGCCCAUCCCAUGGCGAUAAAUCUUUGUCCCUCAAGACACAUACGGUAUUAGCUCCAGUUUCCCGGAGUUAUUCCGUACCACAGGGCAGGUUCCCACGCGUUACUCACCCGUGCGCCACUAGGGCCGAAGCCCUCGUUCGACUUGCAUGUGUUAGGCAUGCCGCCAGCGUUCGUUCUGAGCCAGGAUCAAACUCU
rnacentral:rRNA from 1 species